UUCUGAUAUUCCAGAAAUGUCUCACACUGAAAGCUCUAGAACUAAAUCCCAGUGGUGUUGAUACUUCCAAAAUGCUCAGGAAGAGGCCUUCUUUUGAGCAGCAAUGCACUGAAGUUUCCCAUUUCACCCUCCACAUCUGAGUAGCACAGGAACUGAGAGAAUUGAAAGAGAAAGAAGCCUGAGUCAAAUCAGUGAUCAAGAAAAUGGAAAUCCUUUUAUGGGUGGUUAAAGGAAUGGAAGAGAAAACUGGGCUAUUAUAGUUGUGUGUCAUCCAGGAUCUCCACAUCUUGAUGCUCAACUCCAGAAAGCUCCAGACACAUUUAGAACUCAAACUCUUCAAGAAUCUCAAAAACCAGGGACAUCAAAGCACACAGGUUCCAUUGUCCAUGCUGAUGGAUACCAAGAGAGGGCUGAGGAAUAUGUCCUUGGGCAGCUGUGGGAAAGUGACUUAGGUUGUCAAAACAAGUACUACUGUGAAAGAAGCUUCCAAUAAGAGAUAAGUUCUCAAUAAAAUAUCACCAAGCAAAUGAAGAUUAACACCAUGAAAAAGAGACUCAACAAAUAAAAGAAUUGUUUUAUCUACUAUAAGAAAUAGAAAUUCGAAACAAUAUGGCAAGAACUUAAACGUAAAAGACUCAAACAACAAAGAAGGAAAUAGCAAUUUUGAAACAAGAGCAAAUAGUUGUGAAAACUUGCCAAAUGAAAGUUUUCAAAACAAAAUUGUAAUUUCUCAAAGAAAAAACAUGCAGUACGUUAUGUGAAUCUCAGGUUGGGGCCUACCAUAUAUAUCAGAACAGCAAGAAUAAAUUUAAAAAUCUAAAAGAGUAAAGAAGUUUACGGAUAAAAGAAUGAGAAGUAGACUGACAUUGUACUUUUCAUCAACGUGUUGAAUGCCUAAAGAAUAGAAGGAAAAUAAGUUUAAAAUUUUGAAUCUAUGAUGAAGAAAUUAUCCAUAUGCAUUGAUUAACCAUAUGCAUAUUUGACAUUAAAAUAAUUCAUAAUUAGGGCUAACAGAUUUCUGGCUUAAAAAAAUCUAACAAUUACUUUAAGAAGCAAAAGACGUUUCCAGAAUAAAGUAGGGGGAUAUAUAGAAAAGCUGGUACUUUUUUUAAACAGAGUCUUCUUUUGUAAGGAAGUAGAAUUUAUUCAUCAAAGAUUUAUGAAAAGUAUGGUGGUAUAGUGAGUGGCCUCACUAGUUUUAACGAUUGAUAUUUGAAUAUAGCUUAGUCUUAUAACAACCCCCCACAUAAAAAUUUAAAAUUCAUUUGUAUCCCUUUGAUUUUCAGUGCUAAAAACUAGAUUGUGAAUGUCCAGGAAAUAUUUAAGUUAUUUCCGAACUAAUGUAUUUGUAGAGAGAAGAAGGGAGUGUGCCCGUGAUCAAGAAUUAUGUUUUGAAAAUAAAUGAAUGAUUGGCUAUUAAAAAAAUUUUUAAGCCUUUGGGAUCUUGCAAAUUUUAUUUAAUCUUGAUAUCAUUAAGACUAACCCAAGUUCAAUAGAAGUACCAAUUAGAGGCCAGAGAAUUUAAAUACCAAUUUCAGGAAGUUAAUUUGAUGUACAAAAAGUCUUAUAUUUAAUUUCUUCUUUGUCCCUGAAAUCAAAGAUAUAAAUAAGCUCAAUUUGGAACCAACUUGGAGAUUAAUACAUAAUUUUACAGUUCUCCAAGUUUCCACAAGUCUCAAGAUGCAAAGGGAGACAUUAAAUAAAAAAUUGGCUC